UACGGAGGGUGCGAGCGUUGUCCGGAAUCACUGGGCGUAAAGGGCGCGUAGGCGGCCUGAUAAGUAGGGGGUGAAAUCCUGAGGCUUAACCUCAGGGCUGCCUUCUAAACUGUCAGGCUCGAGCACAGUAGAGGCAGGUGGAAUUCCCGGUGUAGCGGUGAAAUGCGCAGAUAUCGGGAAGAACACCCGUGGCGAAGGCGGUUCUCUGGGACGGUACUGACGCUGAGACGCGAAAGCGUGGGGAGCGAACAGG
rnacentral:rRNA from 1 species